GACGUUUUUAAAACUGGUGCGGCUCAGUGUUGACUGUUGACAAAUCUCAUAUUUACCGUAUCCGUAGAGGUGGCCUGUCAUUGCUGGCAUCACGGAAAGAAAAAUGUCCUCAAAAAUUCCUAGAGGUGCACAGUUACCUGCAGAAACGAAGAAAACGGGUAAUAAAUUUGAAUCCAAAGACACAGCAGCUGCAUCUGCAAAUGCUGCCCAAAAAUCAGAUGGCAUCCUUAGACCUCAAAAAG